rnacentral:rRNA from 1 species
AUUGAACGCUGGCGGCAUGCCUAACACAUGCAAGUCGAACGGAAGAAGGGAGCUUGGUCCUGGCGUCAGCGGCGGACGGGUGAGUAAUGUCUAUGAACCUCCCUGGAAGUGGGGGAUAACGUACGGAAAUGGGCGCUAAUCCCGCAUACGUCCUGAGCGGGAAGGUGGGGGAUCGUCGGCCCUGGCGCUUUCGGAUGAGCCUAGGUCGGAUUAGCUAGUUGGUGGGGUAAAGGCCUACCAAGGCGACGAUCGGUAACUGGCCUGAGAGGAUGAUCCGGCACACUGGAACUGAGACACGGUCCAGACUCCUACGGGAGGCAGCAGUGGGGAAUAUUGGACAAUGGGCGAAAGCCUGAUCCAGCCAUGCCGCGUGUGUGAAGAAGGGCUUCGGGUUGUAAAGCACUUUACGUGGGGAAGAACGGCAGUAGGAUAAUACCUGGUUUUUGUGACGGUACCAGCAGAAGAAGCACCGGCUAACUACGUG